rnacentral:rRNA from 1 species
UACGGGGGGAGCAAGCGUUGUCCGGAAUUAUUGGGCGUAAAGGGCUCGUAGGCGGUCCGUCACGUCGGGAGUGAAAACUCGGGGCUCAACCCCGAGCCUGCUUUCGAUACGGGCGGACUAGAGGUAGGUAGGGGAGAACGGAAUUCCUGGUGUAGCGGUGGAAUGCGCAGAUAUCAGGAGGAACACCGGUGGCGAAGGCGGUUCUCUGGGCCUUACCUGACGCUGAGGAGCGAAAGCGUGGGGAGCGAACAGG